GAUGAACGCUGGCGGCGUGCCUAACACAUGCAAGUCGAGCGAUUUACUUCGGUAAAGAGCGGCGGACGGGUGAGUAACACGUGGGUAACCUGCCUCAUACACAUGGAUAACAUACCGAAAGGUAUGCUAAUACAAGAUGAUAUAAGAGAUUCGCAUGGAUUUCUUAUCAAAGCUCCGGCGGUAUGAGAUGGACCCGCGUCUGAUUAGCUAGUUGGUAAGGUAACGGCUUACCAAGGCGACGAUCAGUAGCCGACCUGAGAGGGUGAUCGGCCACAUUGGAACUGAGACACGGUCCAAACUCCUACGGGAGGCAGCAGUGGGGAAUAUUGCACAAUGGGCGAAAGCCUGAUGCAGCAACGCCGCGUGAGCGAUGAAGGCCUUCGGGUCGUAAAGCUCUGUCCUUAAGGAAGAUAAUGACGGUACUUGAGGAGGAAGCCCCGGCUAACUACGUGCCAGCAGCCGCAGUAA
rnacentral:rRNA from 1 species